GAGUGCGCAGACGCAGGGGCAGCGAGUGGACAUUUUGGUCUUUGUCCGCGGGUCAGCACGGCCGUCGUGUCCACGUGGCGCCAAAGUAGGAGGUGGGAUCUGGGCGUCCUGGGUCGGUGGGUUCGGGAGGUUGGAGGGCAGUGUUUCCGAUCUUUGGAGGUGUAGCGCGGGGUUCAGGGAGUGGGCUGAAGAGCAUUGGAUCUUGGUGAAGGCGGAGGUGGGGGCCUCUGAGGAAAGCUUGAGCGUUUGAGACCGAAUUUGACUGCAAAGUUUGACCCACUAUUUGGAAUGAUUGAGUGGGUGUGGAGCUGGGUGUAGGAUUGUGGGUGGCUAUGCUUCACGAGGCAAUGAGGAGACCCAUGUUGAAGUAUCACGUCUGCGCGGUAGUUCCCGAGUCGAAAGUGCUGAUAAUUAUAACGGGGCCAUCUUCCCGAAGAGCAUCCGUUUUAUUUGAUUACUUGAAAGGUGGGAUGAAGCUAAGGGUUAAAUACUUUUAAAACUGUAUUUAUUGAUGGUGAGUUUUAUACGCAAAUGCAUUUCGUGAUAUGUGCAGAAAGCCUUAGUAAACAUGUUUAGAUUUUAAAAGACGAUCUGUGUACUAAAACGCGGUUGUUUAUGAAUGGAGGUAGAAUACAGAUUACUCUGUCAUGCUUAAUUAAGGAAACAUUUGGUUUGGAAUUGUUUGUCCCGGGGGUGCCAGCCAUAGACUUCAUUUCUGAUUUUUGAGGUACUUUAAUAGAGCUGUUAGGCAAAUUCGAGUUUCGGUUUGAAGAGCGUCAUUUCACUAAAAACCCAGGAUUAAGGGGUCUAAUUUAGAUUUAGGUUAGGCACAGUUCCUCAUUUAAAGCAUAUAUAUAUAUAUAUAUAUAUAUAUACAUUUAUUUGUGUGGGCAUGCUUGCCACAGUCGGUUCUGUCCUCCAUCAUGUGGGUUUAGGGUCGGAAUCCAGGUUGUCAGCCUUGGAAGCAAAGCGCCUUUGCACACCCCCCCCCCCAAGCUCUCUCACUGGUCCAUGUUUUUAGUUUUUUGAAAAAAACUUAGUGAUUACUGUGCUAUAUCGUAGAUGUCAUAACUCCUUCACGAGUACAGUUCUGUGAAUUGUGUAGCACAUGUGAAAAACUACUUCUCCCUGCUGUGGCAGUCAUUAAAGACAUCCGCAGCUUUGGCUUUUCUCCUAAUGGUAAAAGUUAAGCAGUACCUGAUUAAGAUUUGCAAGUGGGUAGCUUUCAAAUUUAUGAAUAGCUGCCACUAGUUGAUACAUUGU
rnacentral:lncRNA from 1 species